UCACCCCGCCCCACCAGACUGGAGAGUUCUGGUGGAAGGAUUAUUGCCCGGUUGGUGUUUAGGUAUUAAUUUUGUUUCCAAUUAUAUAUAAUGUUUCUUUGAAUUUUGUACUGUAAUUGUGAUGGGCAACUUGUUCUGCUCGGAAUACCGAAUUCACAGACGGUUUGACCUGAAAGGCUCAUCUCAUGGCCGCACAACAUGUAAACCCGAGGGAGAGAUACCCGGGCCUCCGCCUCAACUCCCGAGUCCAAAGUUUUCUACUUGAAGAUGAAGGACAAUUACCAUCGCUAUUUGGCUGAGUUUAAGAUUGGGAAUGAGCGCGAAGAGGCUGCCGAGGAGACUUUGCUAGCCUAUAAAGCUGCUCAGGGAUGAACAAGUUGCAGCAGCAGUGGUUGCUGCAAUUAACAAUUAGAUAUCAUAUUUCCCACAAGUAGCAAUGAACAGACACAUCUUAGAGACUUGGCUGCAAAAUGUUCUUCACUGGGACGAGUUCGAGUUUUAGCAUUGAUUGUGAAGUUAUUUUCUAUAUAUA